ACAAAGUAUUAGCACCAAAAUAUACUUGGUCUACUCAACGUGAAAUAUUCAUUACGGUGAAUGUCACAUCAGAAUAUUAAUGGAUUAUAAUUACUGAUGUCUUAAUGUUUUGGUCACAAUAUUGAAGCUGUAGUUUCCCUUUGUAUCAGUAGUUCUAUUUGAAACAUUCCCUCCACAUGUAUUAAUAAGGCAUACAUAAAAAUUCUCUCUUGUGUUUAUGGUUGAAGAGUUAAAUUCUUGAAAUUGCAUCGAUUCCUUUUCAGUCAUUAGAUAUUCCAGAAUAUGUGAAUAUGCUAUUUUUUUAUUUCACAAGUUACGGUGCUGAAUGCAAGGUGUUUCCAACUUCCUACUUCACUGUAUAUGCACUGAAAGCUACAAGUUUCCAUGUCCAACAUUGUAUCACAAUAAAAGUGGCUGCAACUUCUACCUGAUGCCCCUCAGAGUACUGAAAGAAGACAGUUUCAUCCCAAACUACUGAAUACUGUAUUCUUUCCUUCAGUGAGCAGAUUAUAGCGUCAAGCCAGGAGCUAAUGGUUGUUAAACUGAGGCCGUUAGGCGGAGACUCCUAUUUUAGAAUGAGUCUGCUCUUCAAGUCUAAACUGAAUAUUGGGUGUCCAAGGACCUCCAGAAGAACAAAGUUUGCAGAUGCAUGAAUAAAUGCCAUGGAAAUAACCUGUCUGAUGGUUGUUAAACUGAGGCCGUUAGGCGGAGACUCCUAUUUUAGCUCAUGCACACACUGAGAAAGGAGCUGACAUGAUAUCUCCAGUGCUAUGUGACAAUUGUGAGCUUGGACUGCUUCAAUGAUGGUCAACAUUAAGUCAUCAAGGAAAUGGAAGCAUAUUUAAAUGUUGGACACAAUCCCAUCAUUUUCAUUUAAAUGAGUUGGCCUGUGAAAACAGGUUUUGACGACUUGCUUUAAUUCUUGUAAGAACAUUUUAAAUAAAUGUUUGAUUCACAAUGA